CUGGGAUUACAGGUGUGAGCCACCACGCCCGGCCCUGACCAACAUCUUGACUGAAACUCACGAGACACUGAGCCACAACCUUCCAACUAAGCUGUUCCUGGAUUUCUGACCCUAGGAAACUGUGUGAGGUUUCUUGAAGGUCAGCGUGAGGUCCCUCUGGCAACUGGAGACAGAGCCGGUUUUCAAGCCCUGAGAAUGCAUGCCUCUGCAAGUCAAGGCUGUCUCCUCUGCAGGGUAGCAUGUGUUAUGGUUGAUUGUGAGUGGUGGCAGUGAGGGUGUGAGUGGGUAACUGUCAGGCCUCUGAGCCCAAGCUAAGCCAUCAUAUCCCCUGUGACCUGCACUUACACUUCCAGAUGGCCAGUUCCUGCCUUAACUGAUCACAUUCCACCACAAAAGAAGUGAAAAUGGCCUGUUCCUGCCUUUGCUGAUGACAUUACCUUGUGAAAUUCCUUCUCCUGGCUCAUCCUGGCUCAAAAGCUCCCCUGCUGAGCACCUUGUGACCCCCCCGCCCCUGCCCACCAGAGAACAACCCCCU
rnacentral:lncRNA from 1 species